rnacentral:rRNA from 1 species
GACGAACGCUGGCGGCGUGCUUAACACAUGCAAGUCGAACGGAAAGGCCCUGCUUUUGUGGGGUGCUCGAGUGGCGAACGGGUGAGUAACACGUGAGUAACCUGCCCUUGACUUUGGGAUAACUUCAGGAAACUGGGGCUAAUACCGGAUAGGAGCUCCUGCUGCAUGGUGGGGGUUGGAAAGUUUCGGCGGUUGGGGAUGGACUCGCGGCUUAUCAGCCUGUUGGUGGGGUAGUGGCUUACCAAGGCUUUGACGGGUAGCCGGCCUGAGAGGGUGACCGGCCACAUUGGGACUGAGAUACGGCCCAGACUCCUACGGGAGGCAGCAGUGGGGAAUAUUGCACAAUGGGCGGAAGCCUGAUGCAGCAACGCCGCGUGCGGGAUGACGGCCUUCGGGUUGUAAACCGCUUUCGCCUGUGACGAAGCGUGAGUGACGGUAAUGGGUAAAGAAGCACCGGCUAGCUACGUG